AGUUGAGAGUGAAAGACCCCCAAAGGGAGACCCUCACUCAAGCCUCGGGACAGCCGCGGACCCAAGAAGACACUGAGACCG
rnacentral:pre_miRNA from 7 species